AGAAUAAGCAAAUCCAUAGAAACAGAAAAGAGAUAAGUGCUUGCCAGUGGUUGGGUAUUGGAGGAAUGGGAAUGGCUGCUAAUUGGUAUGGUGUUUAUAAUGUGAUGAAAUGUUUUGGAAAGAGACACUGGAGAUGAUUGCCCAACCUUGUGAAUAUAUUAACAUCGACUGAAUUGUACCCUUUAAAACGGUAGACUUCAUGGCCGGAACUGGAGUGGCUCUUUCACUCAGCCCGCCGCUGGCCACUCCUCCUCUCAGGAGGGAGGGUGCGAGCAAGCAAGUGCAGGAACUGAAGCGAACAAACACUGGAACUGGCCAGAGUCCAAGCGUGUUAUGACCAGUGCACUGUCAGCUCAGCCGUCCAGGGACAGGGAAGUGCCAACCAGCUCACUGGAGGGUCAAGGUGGCAGCCUCUGACCUCUCAGCACCCAGGUUCUUGUCCAGCAUCCAGGAAGAAUCAAGUCACACGAACUGUUUGAGAGGUUGAUGAACGCAGAAGACUUUAUUGAGCAGUGGGUGGCUCUCAGCAGAAAGGGAGACUGAAAAGGGGUCGGGAAAAUGAUCUCUUUCUCCCUGAAGCCUGGCUGUCCCUCUCUGAAGCCGCCCUGUCUGAAGUUAGCCACGUCUAUCCAUAGUCUCCAACGCUCAGUUUCUUCUCUGCUCACUGCUCAGCCGCUUGUGUUGCUCUGCCAGCUGAAGUCUUCUAUGGGCACAGGAUAGGAGCAUGGCAGGCCAAAAAGGUAACUUCAUCUUGACAUUCUGCAAAACAUAAUUCUGGUCGACUACAUGAGUGGCAUGAUGCUAAUGUGACUUAUGAGCAAGAAGUGGCAAAUACCCUACAUGCCCAAGUAAGUACAUAGUGAGAAAUAAUUCCAUAGAGAUUCAGAGGCCUACCAUAUUGUUGAAAUUUUGAAGAAUCCAACAAUCCAAUACAUGUGUUAUAAGGUAAAGACAGGUGGUAGAAUACUGUGCCAUCUAUGAUAAAUAAAGAGGCAUAGGCCAAGCAUGGUGGCUCACACCUGUAAUCCCAGCACUUUGGGAGGUCAAGGCUGGAGGAUCACUUGAGCAUAGGAGUUCAAGACUAGCCUGGACAACAUGGCAAAACUCUGUCUCCAUAAAAAAUACAAAAAUUUGCCAGGCAUGGUAGUGUGCACCUGUAGUUCCAGCUACUUGGGAGGCUGAGGUGGGAGGAUUGCUUGAGCCUGGGAAGUGUAGGUUGCAGUGAGCAGUGAGCUGUGAUUGCACUUGCACUCCAGCCUGGGUGACAAAGUAAGAUCCUGUCUU